rnacentral:rRNA from 1 species
GACGAACGCUGGCGGCGUGCUUAACACAUGCAAGUCGAACGGAAAGGCCCUGCUUUUGUGGGGUGCUCGAGUGGCGAACGGGUGAGUAACACGUGAGUAACCUGCCCUUGACUUUGGGAUAACUUCAGGAAACUGGGGCUAAUACCGGAUAGGAGCUCCUGCUGCAUGGUGGGGGUUGGAAAGUUUCGGCGGUUUGGGAUGGACUCGCGGCUUAUCAGCUGGUUGGUGGGGUAGUGGCUUACCCAGGCUUUGACGGGUAGCCGGCCUGAGAGGGUGACCGGCCACAUUGGGACUGCGAUACGGCGCAGACUCCUACGGUAGGCAGCAGUGGGGAAUAUUACACAAUGGGCGGAAGCCUGAUGCAGCAACGCCGCGAUCGUGAUGACGGCCUUCGGGUUGUAAACCGCUUUCGCUUGUUACGAAGCGUGAGUGACGGUAAUGGGUAAAGAAGCACCGGCUAACUACGUG